GGAGAGGGAAGCUUAUCAGCAAGCCUUGCAGAGUGCUUAUCACUCCCAGCCCCUGGGAAGGUCUGAGACAGGGCCCUUGCAUAGGCUUAAUAGAGGUGCUCUUGGAGCAGGGAGCUGAGUUUCCAGGAAGCAAGGCUUCAAGAGAGGGCAAGUGGACUGAGCAGGAAAGGCCAUGGGCACAGAGAAUGUACCCNUCACUGGAGCUUAAAACUGACUCACUGCCAGCAGCAAGCUCAAUGGCUAAGGAGAGGCAUCUGGAAGGCCUCAUAACAGCAAUUCAGAUUACUCUUUUCCUGC
rnacentral:RNase_P_RNA from 2 species